AACGGCUAAUACCGGAUAAUAUUUUGAACCGCAUGGUUCAAAAGUGAAAGACGGUCUUGCUGUCACUUAUAGAUGGAUCCGCGCUGCAUUAGCUAGUUGGUAAGGUAACGGCUUACCAAGGCAACGAUGCAUAGCCGACCUGAGAGGGUGAUCGGCCACACUGGAACUGAGACACGGUCCAG
rnacentral:rRNA from 1 species